rnacentral:rRNA from 1 species
AUUGAACGCUGGCGGCAUGCCUAACACAUGCAAGUCGAGCGGAUGAAUGGAGCUUGCUCCUGUAUUCAGCGGCGGACGGGUGAGUAAUGCCUAGGAAUCUGCCUGGUAGUGGGGGAUAACGUCCGGAAACGGGCGCUAAUACCGCAUACGUCCUGAGGGAGAAAGUGGGGGAUCUUCGGACCUCACGCUAUCAGAUGAGCCUAGGUCGGAUUAGCUAGUUGGUGGGGUAAAGGCCUACCAAGGCGACGAUCCGUAACUGGUCUGAGAGGAUGAUCAGUCACACUGGAACUGAGACACGGUCCAGACUCCUACGGGAGGCAGCAGUGGGGAAUAUUGGACAAUGGGCGAAAGCCUGAUCCAGCCAUGCCGCGUGUGUGAAGAAGGUCUUCGGAUUGUAAAGCACUUUAAGUUGGGAGGAAGGGCAGUAAGUUAAUACCUUGCUGUUUUGACGUUACCAAAAGAAUAAGCACCGGCUAACUUCGUG